GUAGGUGGCAAGCGUUGUCCGGAAUUAUUGGGCGUAAAGCGCGCGCAGGCGGUUCUUUAAGUCUGAUGUGAAAGCCCACGGCUCAACCGUGGAGGGUCAUUGGAAACUGGAGAACUUGAGUACAGAAGAGGAAAGCGGAAUUCCACGUGUAGCGGUGAAAUGCGUAGAGAUGUGGAGGAACACCAGUGGCGAAGGCGGCUUUCUGGUCUGUAACUGACGCUGAGGCGCGAAAGCGUGGGGAGCAAACAGGAUUAGAUACCCUGUUAGUCCACGCCGUAAACGAUGAGUGCUAAGUGUUAGGGGGGUUUUCCGCCCCCCUUAGUGCUGCAGCUAACGCAUUAAGCACUCCGCCUGGGAUACGGCCGCAAGGCUG
rnacentral:rRNA from 1 species